rnacentral:lncRNA from 1 species
AGGCAGUGGCCCGGAGUGCUGCCCUGUGCUCACCACGAUGCUUCUGGUGCCGGAGCCCCUGUGCCCCUGUCCCCUGUCUGCCCAGAUCUGCUGUUGGGGGAGAAGUCAGGCCCCGGACAGAGGAGGCCUGUGGCUCUGUUGCUAAGGCCAGCAGCUGUGGCCGUAGAUUAAACGGCCCCCAUGGACUUGGGGUGUCUCCACAGUUUGAGGACACCUACAAUGCGGUGCCAGAGAGAAAGCAGCGGCCGAGGCUCACCCUGAAGAAGUUGGUGCGGCGACUGCGCAUCCGGGAGCCUGCUCAGCACGUCCAGGCCCUGCUGGGCUACAGGUAGGAGACGUGCCCCGACAGACCCCCUCCCCCCGGCCCCGGGGCCCCCCACUUCCACGGCCGGCGCCUGUGCGUGGGCCCAGCAGCAGGAGUCGCAGGUGCGACUGGCCGGCUUCGACCUUUGCUUUCCACAUUAUUCUGAGCAGGUGUUGAGAUGGGGGCUUUUCCUCCUCUGUCCCAGAUACCCCUCCGACCUACAGAGGUUUUCUCGAAGUCGCCUCCCUGGGCCGUGGGACCCCAGCAGAGCCGGGAAGCGGAUGAAGCUGCUGCGGCCAGAGACCUGGGAGCGGGAGGUCAGCCUGCGGGGGAACAGAGCUCCCGUGUGGGAGGAGCUCAUCGACCACGGGAAGCUUCCCUUCAUGGCCCUGCUUCGGAACCUGUGCAACCUGCUGCGGGUUGGAGUCAGCGCCCGGCACCACGAGCUCACCCUCCAGAUGCUGCAGCAGGAGAAAUCAGUGAUCCACAGUCGGCAGUUUCCAUUCAGAUUCCUUAAUGCCCAUGACGCCAUCAAUAACUUGGAGGCCCAACUCAAAAAUAAAGGUAAUGUCUGCCUCCCGAAUCCGGUUUAU